rnacentral:rRNA from 1 species
GCCUGACCAGCCAUGCCGCGUGCAGGAUGACGGUCCUAUGGAUUGUAAACUGCUUUUGUACGGGAAGAAACACUCCGACGUGUCGGAGCUUGACGGUACCGUAAGAAUAAGGAUCGGCUAACUCCGUGCCAGCAGCCGCGGUAAUACGGAGGAUCCAAGCGUUAUCCGGAAUCAUUGGGUUUAAAGGGUCCGUAGGCGGUCUGGUAAGUCAGUGGUGAAAGCCCAUCGCUCAACGGUGGAACGGCCAUUGAUACUGCUGGACUUGAAUUACUGGGAAGCAACUAGAAUAUGUAGUGUAGCGGUGAAAUGCUUAGAGAUUACAUGGAAUACCAAUUGCGAAGGCAGGUUGCUACCAGUGGAUUGACGCUGAUGGACGAAAGCGUGGGUAGCGAACAGGAUUAGAUACCCUGGUAGUCCACGCCGUAAACGAUGGAUACUAGCUGUUGGGAGCAAUCUCAGUGGCUAAGCGAAAGUGAUAAGUAUCCCACCUGGGGAGUACGUUCGCAAGAAUGAAACUCAAAGGAAUUGACGGGGGCCCGCACAAGCGGUGGAGCAUGUGGUUUAAUUCGAUGAUACGCGAGGAACCUUACCAAGGCUUAAAUGCAGACUGACCGAUUUGGAAACAGAUCU